rnacentral:misc_RNA from 1 species
GCGUCAAAUUAGAUUUUUGCAUGCCAAAGCAUGGACAAACAAAAACAAAAUUAAUCUAACAAAGUCCAUUUGGUAGUUUAGCCACUGGAAUACUAAUGUGGACAUCAAGCCCCCUUAUUUUCUCUAAAACUUAUGCUGAAAAAUAAUUCCAAUUGGACAUGCAUAAAGAACUAAUGACAAAUCCAUCCAACCAAUAACAGCUGCAAUAGAC